rnacentral:rRNA from 1 species
AGGGCACCACCAGGAGUGGAGCCUGCGGCCUAAUUUGACUCAACACGGGAAAACUCACCCGGCCCGGACACUGGAAGGAUUGACAGAUUGAGAGCUCUUUCUUGAUUCAGUGGGUGGUGGUGCAUGGCCGUUCUUAGUUGGUGGAGUGAUUUGUCUGGUUAAUUCCGAUAACGAACGAGACUCUAGCCUACUAAAUAGAUCGUCGGCUUACAAACGCCGACGAGACUUCUUAGAGGGACAGGCGGUGAUUCAACCGCACGAAACAGAGCAAUAACAGGUCUGUGAUGCCCUUAGAUGUCCGGGGCCGCACGCGCGCUACACUGAAGUGAUCAGCGUGCAUUUUCAGCCUACUCUGUCAAGAGUGGGAAACCCAAUGAACCUUCUUCGUGAUUGGGAUAGGGGAUUGUAAUUAUUCCCCUUGAACGAGGAAUUCCCAGUAAGCGCGAGUCAUAAGCUCGCGUUGAUUACGUCCCUGCCCUUUGUACACACCGCCCGUCGCUACUACCGAUUGAAUGUUUU